UGUUGGCUGCACAGGGCACAAGCUUGUAUGUGAACAGUUGAACUGUUUUAGCAUUGUAUUGUGUGCAUAGACGUUUGCAUAGAUAUCGGCGCAAACAGAUUGUAGCGUGGGGCUGGCUGGCCGUAAAUUACGACUUACGUGUCUGUAAAGUCUACCGCCAGCUUAACACAAUGUAUCAGAUUUUUUUGUUGUAUGAUAGUUCAUUCAUUUCGGACAUUGGCAUUUAAUUUCGUUCUGUUUUCACAUGGCAGCCUAUCCAAGAUCACGAUCCGGUUAUGAAUUGUGAUCUUAUGGAUGGGAGAGAUGCAUAUUUUUAACAAUGGCAGGUGAAUGCCAUUAGGAAUUUUCAUAGUGGAGAACAGCAAAGUUCUCCACAAUGUCAAUGCGUAAUGAACUUCAUAACCAAGCUCAAGCUGCAUUUGGAUGUACUUGCAGUAACUGUAAGGAUUAUGUAGAAACACGUUACCACUGCAAUGUUUGUGAUGAUUUUGACCUGUGUGUUCAGUGCUAUGAGAAAAAUGGACAUCCUCAUAGCAUGGAGAAACGCGGUAUGGAUGAUGACAUCUCGUAUUCAAAUUUGAAGAAAGCCUAUCCUCAGGAGGUGCGGAAACUUUCUAUAAAACGUUGCAUGCAGAAAUUAGUACAUGCGUGCCAGUGCCAUAAUGUCAACUGUUGCCAGCCCGGCUGUCAGAAGAUGAAACGAGUUGUACGGCAUACAAAAGUAUGUAAAAGUAAGACAAAAGGUGGCUGCAGUAUAUGCAAACAGCUUGUUGCAGCUUGCUGUUACCAUUCAAUGCAUUGCCAGGAACCAAAAUGUUCAGUGCCAUUCUGUCCCAACAUCAAACAUACGCUGAAGCAGCAUAAAAUUCAGCAGGUAGAUCAACUACAAAGGCGAAUGGCAGCAAUGAACAUCAGGACAACAGUACCUAUUGGUCUACUACCAGGCAGUUCAGGGGUGCUGGGUGUUGGUGGUGCAGGUUCAGCAGUUACUCCAGUGGGUGAUUUUACACCAGCAACAUCAGGUGCUGGCAUUUUGGUUGGUUUGCAGCCUUCACAUCGACCAGACAUUAGUGGUUUGAAGCCUGAUGCACAGACUCCCAGUGCACAUUGUGAAAUAGGAGAUGUUGCAGUAAGGGCGGCCCAUCCAGCAGCAGACAUGAGGGGACAGUACCAGCUAUGGUCCUCUUUGCUGCCACUGUCAAUCAUCAGCCCACGAUUAGCAGACAUUGCGGCAGACUCGCUCGCCGCCAAUGCUGACCACAUCAGUGAGCCAUCGCCGAGAUUGUGCGGGGCCUAGGCCCUGUGCAUCCGCUGUCACAACCGGGUGAGCCGGCGACACUGGGGGACUGCAGCCCGUUCCGCCCGUCCACCGCGGACAAGCCACCAGGAGGAGCAGGGAAGAAGAUGGGGUGGGAUAGAGUACACUCUGCACUACGAGAAUGCCUUUCGUGCCGACAGCGCCGGGACUCCAACCCGUAGCCUCCUGCGCACAGCGGCCUAAUGUCCACUGCCGAGCCGGCCGGCCAGCUGGCGCCGCCACCCACGCGCAGUCGAAGUACGAAGUAAGGAGACAUUCCUUCGCUACGUCACAGCACGUGGCGCUGCGCUAGCAAGACUGGUGUGGCCCGGAGCUGGUGUCAUCGCUACGAGUCAGCGAGGACUCGGGGAAGGGCGUUCAUAUCACCAAGCUCAGCCAGCCUGUGUUAUGCAGGCCACAUUGUACUCGGCAGGAAUAAAGGUGUUAUGAAUUAAUAAUGUUUCUUUGGCGUUUCUGAUGCGUCCACAGUCAUUUCCUAGCAUCCUGACAACUGGAGAGGUCACCGCUCAGCCUCCAGUCCAUCGUAAGUGACCGGGACCACCUAUAGAUUUGGUGUCAGAAGUCCUCACGCCGCCUACGGAUUUGGUGUUCGAACCGCCCACUACAGCACUGGCCUGCAGAUCUGGUAUCUGGAGUCGUCGACACCGCCACUGCAGGACUGAUACUACAGAGUUGGGGUCAGAACUCUCGACUCUACGCAGCCUUGUGAAAACCAGAGCAUUCAUAAAGAAAACUGGAAGCAUACAAAUUUGGAGCUCUGCGAGCAAAGUGGUGAACAUCAUUAGGAAAACAACUUUGCGAUCUUGUGAUAAUGUCAUGGAAAACAACACAAAUGGAACCAUUUCCUCGAAAGCUGGGGCAUGCAGUUGAUUAUGGAACAAGAUAUGCAGAUCGAGGAUUGAGGCAGUUGUUAAAGUCACACCUCAGGUACCCCAAUUGGCUGCUCUUGGUGUAGAAGGGCACUAGGAAUUCACAGUGCUCUUGAUGUGACAACACAUUGUGCAGCUAGGGGCCUGGAUACAGGUUACAAAAGUAGACCCUCCAGCAACUACUGCAAAAAAGUCACCAAACACUCCAUAACAACAGCAACAGGUCCUCCAGAUUCUCAAAAGCAAUCUAAUGCUGGUGGCAGCAUUUAUUAAACAGCAGCAGGCAUCCCAAAACCUGCCGUAGCAACAAGUUGCUGUGGCACAAGCUGCAGCUGCUCAGCAGCAGGUAGCAGUUACUGGGGCAAAUACUGGUGUUCUCUCAACAGGAGAGCAACAGCAGCUAAUAUUCAGCCGCUGCAGCAGCAGCUAAAUUUCACCAGCAGCAGCAGGUAGCAGCUGCAAGUAGAUAGCAGUGGAUGCGAGCCAUGAUUCUGUUUCAAAUGACGCUGGCCACACUACAUCAUUGAUACAAGCAAGAGCAGCAGCAGCAGCAGCCGUAGUUAUUGGCCCUGCAGAGACAUUAGUCAUUUUUUCAACCUUCAUCUCUUGAUAAUGGACAACAGCAGUGGAGACUUUGGUAGCAGCAUUUGGCUGGUGCUUAUGCAUGUGCCUGUUUUCCCACAGUUCCUGAACAACAUCCGGCAAAGUAUCAGCAGCAGCAGCAUCCUCCUCUGAAACACACACUUCCACCUGCUCCAUCACCAUAGGGUGUUAUGGGCCCACCAGGUGGAGCUCCGAAGUUGAUGCAGGCUGUGGAAUCCUCUCUCCACUGAUUACUUCCCGCCACUCAAAACCUAGGCUGCAGUCAGCGCCAUCACCUUGAAAUCAUCCAGUGCCAUCUCCUCAUUGUGCCCCCCCCCCCCCCCCCCCAUACACACCAGCAUCAUUCACAGUCAACACUCGCCAGUUCAUGAACUAAUGGGGGGAGAAACAAUGCUUACACAUAGACAUGGACCUGUCUCGCACCACCCUUCCUGGUGCAAAUGCUCAAGAUCCAAGUGACUCAAUGAAGUACUGCCAACGACUCUUCAGGAAAAGCUUAAUAAGUUUGUGGAACCAUCAUAAUAAUACCAAUGCCAUAAGAUGUAUGUAAAUUUUGUUGUGUCCGUUUUUCAUAUGAUAAAAACAACAUGUACUUUCAUGAAAGUUUGCAAGUACAUGGCAAGCUUUUUGACAGGUGGGAAAUGUGUCAAAUCCCAGUUGCACAGGAAAUGUGAAGUGUGUAGUGAGAAGUAUUCAUAUGUACAGCUCCCAUGUGGUGCAUUGUAUUAGUGUAUAAAGAUAGAGAACUACCAACUGCAUCCUAAUAUCUACUGUGUCCUGUAUGUAGUGUCUGUGUAUAAAUAAAAAUGUGCAAUAUGUGGUA